GGAAGGUGGGGAUGACGUCAAAUCAGCACGGCCCUUACGUCCAGGGCUACACACGUGCUACAAUGGCCGAUACAGAGGGCAGCUACCUGGUGACAGGGAUGCAAAUCUCCAAAGUCGGUCUCAGUUCGGAUCGGAGUCUGCAACCCGACUCCGUGAAGUUGGAUUCGCUAGUAAUCGCGCAUCAGCCAUGGCGCGGUGAAUACGUUCCCGGGCCUU
rnacentral:rRNA from 1 species